CCCUUAGAUGUCCUGGGCCGCACGCGCGCUACAAUGAUGAAUUCAACGAGUUUAUAACCUUGGUUGAAAAGCCUGGGUAAUCUUUUGAACUUUCGUCGUGAUGGGGCUAGACCCUUGCAAUUAUUGGUCUCCAACGAGGAAUUCCUAGUAAACGCAAGUCAUCAGCUUGCAUUGAUUACGUCCCUGCCCUUUGUACACACCGCCCGUCGCACCUACCGAUUGAAUGGUCCGGUGAAAUCUUCGGAUUGAGACUUUGAUUUCUUCACGGAAAACGCUGUUUUAAAAAGUUGAUUAAACCUUACCAUUUAGAGGAAGGUGAAGUCGUAACA
rnacentral:rRNA from 1 species